rnacentral:tRNA from 1 species
GGGCCUAUAGCUCAGCUGGUAGAGCCAGCGGCUCAUAACCGCUUGGUCCCAGGUUCGAAUCCUGGUGGGCCCACCA